UAUUCCAAGGAGCGCUGCGACAGCCCAAACUAACGGGGGCUGCCAGGCUUGGACGUUCUAACGGCGCUCACCAUCU
rnacentral:ncRNA from 1 species